rnacentral:rRNA from 1 species
CACGUAGGGGCCAAGCGUUGUCCGGAUUUAUUGGGCGUAAAGAGCUCGUAGGCGGUUCAGUAAGUCAGGUGUGAAAUCUUUGGGCUUAACCCAAAGCGUGCACUUGAUACUGCUGUGACUUGAGUUCGGUAGGGGGAGUGGGGAAUUCCUAGUGUAGCGGUGAAAUGCGCAGAUAUUAGGAGGAACACCGGUGGCGAAGGCGCCACUCUGGGCCGAAACUGACGCUGAGGAGCGAAAGCGUGGGUAGCAAACAGG